GUGCUCACUUGGGCAGCACAUAUAUGAAAAUUGGAACAAGACAGAAAAUUAGCAUGGCCUCUGCCCAAGGAUAACAUACAAAUUUGUGUAGCAUUCAAUAUUUUU
ensembl:snRNA U6 U6 spliceosomal RNA